rnacentral:rRNA from 1 species
AGUGAACGCUGGCGGUAGGCCUAACACAUGCAAGUCGAACGGCAGCACAGUAAGAGCUUGCUCUUACGGGUGGCGAGUGUCGGACGGGUGAGGAAUACAUCGGAAUCUACUUUUUUGUGGGGGAUAACGUAGGGAAACUUACGCUAAUACCGCAUACGACCUACGGGUGAAAGCAGGGGAUCUUCGGACCUUGCGCGAUUGAAUGAGCCGAUGUCGGAUUAGCUAGUUGGCGGGGUAAAGGCCCACCAAGGCGACGAUCCGUAGCUGGUCUGAGAGGAUGAUCAGCCACACUGGAACUGAGACACGGUCCAGACUCCUACGGGAGGCAGCAGUGGGGAAUAUUGGACAAUGGGCGCAAGCCUGAUCCAGCCAUACCGCGUGGGUGAAGAAGGCCUUCGGGUUGUAAAGCCCUUUUGUUGGGAAAGAAAAGCAGCAGGUUAAUACCCCGCUGUUCUGACGGUACCCAAAGAAUAAGCACCGGCUAACUUCGUG